CUCAUGAGUGCUUGAGAAAAUGAGCGUUGAGAAUCCCCAUGGCCCCGCGGCCUAACAUGUCUCCCAAUUUUCCAAGCUUGGAUAUACGGGGAAACCCAAUCCCUUGGGCGGAUAGGUUACAUGGCUAAAUUGAGAGAG
rfam:Anopheles gambiae M scf_1925488986 genomic scaffold, whole genome shotgun sequence.